AUUGAACGCUGGCGGAAUGCUUUACACAUGCAAGUCGAACGGCAGCACGGGGGCAGCCCUGGUGGCGAGUGGCGAACGGGUGAGUAAUACAUCGGAACGUGCCCGGUCGUGGGGGAUAACGUAGCGAAAGUUACGCUAAUACCGCAUACGAUCUGAGGAUGAAAGCGGGGGACCUUCGGGCCUCGCGCGAUCGGAGCGGCCGAUGUCAGAUUAGGUAGUUGGUGGGGUAAAGGCCUACCAAGCCGACGAUCUGUAGCUGGUCUGAGAGGACGACCAGCCAAAUGGGAGCUGAGACACGGCCAAGGCCCCAAGGGGAGGCAGAAGGGGGGAAUUUUGGAAAAGGGGGGGAAGCCUGACCCAGCCAUCCCGGGUGGAGGAAGAAGGCCUUCGGGUUGGAAACUGCUUUUGGAGGGAAAAAAAGGGCUCGGGUAAAAACCUGGGGCUAAUGGCGGUACGGAAAGAAAAAGCACGGGCUAACUACGU
rnacentral:rRNA from 1 species